CAGCAGCCACGGUAACACGUAGGUGGCAAGCGUUGUCCGGAAUUACUGGGCGUAAAGCGUGCGCAGGCGGUUAUAUAAGUCAGAUGUGAAAUCCCCGGGCUCAACCUGGGAACUGCAUUUGAGACUGUAUGGCUAGAGUGUGUCAGAGGGGGGUAGAAUUCCACGUGUAGCAGUGAAAUGCGUAGAUAUGUGGAGGAAUACCGAUGGCGAAGGCAGCCCCCUGGGAUAACACUGACGCUCAUGCACGAAAGCGUGGGGAGCAAACAGGAUUAGAUACCCCUGUAGUCCCUGUCUCUUAUAC
rnacentral:rRNA from 1 species